rnacentral:rRNA from 1 species
GUGAGUUAAUCUUAAAUGGCUGCGGUAAUCUAACCGUACUAAGGUAGCAUAAUAAUUUGCCCUUUAAUUGUGGGCUGGCAUGAAUGGGUAAACGAGAACACAGCUGUCUCUAUUUUAUUAGCUAAAAAUUAGAGUUCAAGUGAAGAUACUUGAAUUUUUUUAAAAGACAAGAAGUCCCCAUAGAGCUUGAGUGGGAACCUGGAGUGAGUCAUAGGAGAUAACUUUGGUUGGGGCGACUAAAAAUCAUCUAAAGCGUUUUUUUGUUUUGGAGAGUGGGGCUCGAUUUAAUGAUCCGUGUGUAGCGAUUAAAUGAAAAAGCUACCUUGGGGAUAACAGGCUAAUUUAUUCAAAGAGUUCACAUUGCUGAAUAAGUUUGGCACCUCGAUGUUGGCUCAGGGUAUCCCAUAGGUGCAGAAGUCUAUGAUGGUAGGUUUGUUCACCCUUUAAAGCCCUACGUGAUCUGAGUCAGACCGGA